rnacentral:rRNA from 1 species
AUGAAUCCUUCCCCCAAUCCCCAAACCACCAUGGCGGCCACCGGCGAGCUGCGCCGCCGCCCAGCACAUAGCAUCCCAGUCACGCCGCGCGUCGUGCAGAGCCAUGGUGGUUGCCGACUUCAAGUGCGGAGAGGGAGGCGCCUGGCUGGGUCGACCGGGAGCACCUCAAGGGCUGGCCGAGGGCAUGCUGGAUGCAGUGCGACGCCGCGGUGCGUGCUCCCCGAGUUCGUCAAAAUCGAUUCCUCGGGAAUUAAUGGCAUCCCAUAUAUGCAUUCUACUAGAGCAAAGUUUGACCAUGGAAAUUAUUCGGGGCACUUCAGUGAAGGAGAAGAGGUGUUGCAACUUAUCGGCAAGGAAACGAUAUGCUCCCCUUUUAUCAGUGGUGGAGAAGCAAUGUGCAGCUCAUUGUCAGUGAUGAUGACAGCCACAACUCCAUGGACUACAGUAAUCAUUCACGGCACAUCUUGUGCAUUCUUCAGAAUUCACGCUUCGCGUGAUGUUAAUCUCCACAGUAGUAUGAUGCGGCAGGGUUACAAGAUGCUCUGA